UACAGAGGUCCCAAGCGUUGUUCGGAUUCACUGGGCGUAAAGGGUGCGUAGGUGGCGAGGUAGGUCGGAUGUGAAAGCUCGGAGCUCAACUCCGAAAUGGCAUUGGAAACUACCUUGCUCGAGGGUUGGAGGGGGGACUGGAAUUCUCGGUGUAGCAGUGAAAUGCGUAGAUAUCGAGAGGAACACCAGUGGCGAAGGCGAGUCCCUGGACAACACCUGACACUGAGGCACGAAAGCUAGGGGAGCAAACAGG
rnacentral:rRNA from 1 species